AUACGUAGGUGGCAAGCGUUGUCCGGAUUUACUGGGCGUAAAGGGCGUGUAGGCGGAGUUGCAAGUCAGGAGUGAAAUCUAGGGGCUCAACCCCUGAACUGCUUUUGAAACUGUAUCCCUUGAGUAUCGGAGAGGGAGGGGGAAUUCCCCGUGUAGCGGGGAAAUGCGGAGAUAUUAGGAGGAAAACCAGUGGCGAAGGCGGCCUGCUGGACGACAACUGACGCUGAGGCGCGAAAGCGUGGGGAGCAAACAGGAUUAGAUACCCUGGUAGUCCACGCUGUAAACGAUGAAUACUAGGUGUGGGGGGACUGACCCCCUCCGUGCCGCAGUUAACACAAUAAGUAUUCCACCUGGGGAGUACGAUCGCAAGAUUGAAACUCAAAUGAAUCGGCGGGG
rnacentral:rRNA from 1 species